GAGUUUGAUCCUGGCUCAGAUUGAACGCUGGCGGCAUGCCUUACACAUGCAAGUCGAACGGUAACGCGGGGCAACCUGGCGACGAGUGGCGAACGGGUGAGUAAUGCAUCGGAACGUACCCAGUAGUGGGGGAUAGCCCGGCGAAAGCCGGAUUAAUACCGCGUACGACCUACGGGUGAAAGCGGGGGAUCGCAAGACCUCGCGCUACUGGAGCGGCCGAUGUCAGAUUAGGUAGUUGGUGGGGUAAAUGCCUACCAAGCCAACGAUCUGUAGCUGGUCUGAGAGGACGACCAGCCACACUGGGACUGAGACACGGCCCAGACUCCUACGGGAGGCAGCAGUGGGGAAUUUUGGACAAUGGGCGAAAGCCUGAUCCAGCCAUGCCGCGUGCGGGAAGAAGGCCUUCGGGUUGUAAACCGCUUUUGUCAGGGAAGAAAUCUUCUGAGCUAAUACCUCGGAAGGAUGACGGUACCUGAAGAAUAAGCACCGGCUAACUACGUGCCAGCAGCCGCGGUAAUACGUAGGGUGCAAGCGUUAAUCGGAAUUACUGGGCGUAAAGCGUGCGCAGGCGGUCGUGCAAGACAGAUGUGAAAUCCCCGGGCUUAACCUGGGAACUGCAUUUGUGACUGUACGGCUAGAGUGCGGCAGAGGGGGAUGGAAUUCCGCGUGUAGCAGUGAAAUGCGU
rnacentral:rRNA from 1 species